GGUAACUCGACGACGCUGAGGACAAAAUUCAGCUUGCCUGGGUGCCGAAGGCAGGAGCUGCGAGUUCGAGAGACGAUGGACAUAAAUACUCCACCGAGGCCUAGCAAUGCUUAUUUUGAUUUGGGGAUUUGGGAUCAGAACUCAAGAUCACCGCAGUCAUGACCGUAAGUUUGAGGAAAACUGAGACAGCACAAGGACAGGAACGUUGCCCCACUGAGAAGAACUCAGUUGUGUAGUAGUAUGUCAAAAAAAAAAAAAAAAAAGUAGCUUGCUUUACUGGAGCAACAGUGCCGCUUUCUGGAUGAAAGUUGCAACCCUCUUGACUUGUGGAAAAGUGAAACUAAAUCCCAGCCACACAUCAUUGCUUUAUUUUGUUUCGGGGUUUUCUUUCUCCCAAGAUGGUAUAUUUUCAUUGAUGUUUGUUGUUGAACAAAAAUUAGUGGAGGGAUGGCGCACGGACCAAUGAGAACCGAAUAUGAUUUUUGUAUCUGUGGAGUAAUUACCGGGUUAUUUUUAGCCUAUAUAAUUAAUAUGGCUCGAGCAAAAAAAUAACAAUAAUAAAUACUCAACCACGAAAGCCUUGACAUGAUGGUGCCUCGUCAACACCAAGAACUCCUCUUUGCUAAAUAACUAAGAGAAAAGAAAAUGA